rnacentral:miRNA from 2 species
UGUAAAAUUCAUUCGUUCCAA